UACAGAGGGGGCAAGCGUUGUUCGGAAUUACUGGGCGUAAAGGGCGCGUAGGCGGCCCGCUAAGUCGAACGUGAAAUCCCCGAGCUCAACUCGGGAACUGCGUCCGAUACUGGCGGGCUUGAAUCCGGGAGAGGGAUGCGGAAUUCCAGGUGUAGCGGUGAAAUGCGUAGAUAUCUGGAGGAACACCGGUGGCGAAGGCGGCUUCCUGGACCGACACUGACGCUGAGGCGCGAAAGCUAGGGGAGCAAACGGG
rnacentral:rRNA from 1 species